rnacentral:rRNA from 1 species
AUGAAUCAGAUUGGAUGGAAGAGCAGAGAUAGGCAGGCGGCGAAGGCAUGUCCGCCGAUCGUUAGGGGGGGCCUGGCCCCUGCUCGCCCCCCCUUGGCUCCGCCACUGGCGUUCUCCCGCGUCCGGAUCAACCCCGCCUGCGUCGCCAAGCCCACCGACGCCGCCAAGAAGCCGAAGCGGCCUGCAGGAUCGCUCGACCACGGGGAACCUCCGGCGAAGAGCGUGCGUUGUGCUUCCGGCGAGGUCGCGUCCGCUGCCGCUGCCGCCGCCAGGAACAAGAAGCGCCCGGGUCCCAGUCCAGUCAGCGGCGUCGAAGCCCUCCGCGUGACCAAGAACCAGACCAGCGCCUCGCCGACUCAGCCUCCCGAGCUCACGGCGCCACCCAAGCCACCAGCUUCCAGCGUACGCGAGAAUGCUCGCCUUGCCGAGAACCAGACCAGCGCCUCGUCGCUGAGGCCCCUGGCCUCCUGCAGCAUGCGCGAGCUCCUCGAGAAGGCCCGUCUCGCCAAGGCUCGUAUUGCCGCUGAGGAUGCCGAGGCCGAGGCCGAGGCCAUCCACAGGCGCGAGAUCGAGCGGCGGAGGGCUGAGGCCCGCCGGGAGCGGGAGCAGAUGGUUCCGACGGUGGAGUUCAACGACCCUUUCAUUGAUUUCCGGGACGUGUUCAAGUGA